CGGUGUCAGGCCUGUCUAUCGCACCGUGUUCUUGGUGAGAAGGCGCUACUCUGUACGCUUGUUCCGUUCAGUCGUUCUAUGGUGUUCUCUUUCUGAGUGUGGCUGGCAGCCAUCUUGUGGCGUCGAGUGAAUAAAAUUCUGUAUGGCGUUCCACAUAUUUAUCGAGUGCCACUAAGAUGGUUAAAAUUUUUAAUGAGUAAGAUAUUUUUAAUAAGUUACAAAAUUUAAUACGUGUUUUUACGAAAUAUUUACGUUAAUUCAAUGCAAGCUCUGUACGAGUAUUGGCCCUCGUGGUGGUGGUGUAAAGACGUUCAGUACUUCGUGCAGAAUAUGCUAGAAAUGAUGUGGAGGGCAUUUACACCGCGAAACUGGGAAAGUUAUGGAAUAGUUGAUGAGCAACAACAACCUUCAACCUCCUCUGCAAACCUCAAUUGCCUAAAUCCAACUACUACUUCUACUUCAGACCGUCCCGCAGCGACGGUUUCCAAAAGAAAACUGCCUUCAUAUCGAGAAAAAAUGCCACGUUCUCGCACAAGAUCGCGAUCCCGCAGUCGUCGGCAUAACAAUCAUACAAAUCAUCGGAGGGACUAUUCUGAUGAGCGCCAUUCUAUAAGAGUGAGGUCUUCUUCUAGAAGGAGGAGACAUCAUAGAAGUAGGAGCAGGAAUAGAGACAGACAUACACGUAGGAGAAACGAGAGCGGAGAUCAUCAUCGCAGUUACAGGCGCAGUUCAGGAGAAAGGAGCUAUCGAAGACACCACAGGCAUGGAGAUGAUUCCAGUCGCCGCCGAACAAGUACGCGUGAAAGGCAUCAGGAAGGUCCGAUUGCAGAUGAUAAGGAGGGACAUCUCAUGUACAAACCUGGUGAUAUAAUUGGAGAUAGAUAUGAAAUUAUUAGUACGUUAGGUGAAGGAACAUUUGGUAAAGUUGUCAAAGUUAAGGAUUCACAGGAUCAGACUACAGUUGCAUUAAAGAUUAUUAAAAACCGAGAGAAAUACAGGGAUGCGGCAAUGCUGGAAAUCAAAGUAUUAGAGAAAAUCUCACAGUUUGACCCAGACAGCUUAUUCUUAUGUGUGCGAAUGUACAAUUGGUUAAACUAUUAUGGCCACAUGUGCAUUGCUUUUGAAAUGUUAGGUGUGAGUAUAUUUGACUUUUUAAAGGAAAAUGAUUAUCAGCCUUACCCGCUGGACCAGAUACGGCAUAUGGCUCAUCAGCUUUGUGUUGCUGUGCGUUUCCUUCAUCAAAUUAAAUUGACUCACACCGAUUUGAAACCUGAGAAUAUACUAUUUGUUAAUUCAGAAUACGACAUUGUUGUUGAUGAAAAAUACAGUUCCAAACCUUACAGGCGAGUAAGAAACAGUGAGAUUAGGUUGAUAGAUUUUGGAAGCGCUACAUUUGAUCAUGAACAUCAUUCAUCGGUGGUUUCAACCAGACAUUAUCGUGCACCUGAAGUGAUGUUAGAAUUAGGUUGGUCGCAACCUUGUGAUGUGUGGUCCAUAGGGUGUAUUCUUUUUGAGUUGUACCAUGGCAGUACCAUGUUCCAAACGCAUGAAAAUCGUGAGCACUUUGCUAUGAUGGAGCGAAUACUGGGAGAACUGCCUUCAAAGAUGACCAGAAAAUCAAAGACCGGCUAUUUCUAUAAAGGUGAACUGGAAUGGGAUGAUAGAAGUUCUUCGGGGCGCUAUGUUCGGGAGAAUUGUAAACCUCUACAUAAAUAUUUGUGUUCUGACAAUGAAGAUGAGCAUCUUCUGUUUGAACUAAUUGACCUCAUGCUGGAGUAUGAUCCAUCUAAACGAAUAACACUGGAUGAGUCCCUGAAACAUGAAUUUUUCUUCAAGCUUCCUCAACACCUGAGGGUCGAUAACACACAGGUGGAGUUUUCACAAGACAAAUUGUAUCAUAGUCUUUCCAGAUAGAAAUCACUCACUAUCAAUUGUACAUUAUAUUUAGGAUGCUCCUUGGAGGUCCAGUCGCGAUGGUUAGAGGGUGCCAUUGGGAGAAAUUUAUUGUACCAUAGUCGCCGCCACAGCACCCAUCAGAUUCUAUCAUCUCAAAGGUGUAAGUGAUUUAAGUACUUCUGGAUUGCUGAUUUGAUGAUAAGAAGACGAGGCAGCUACAUCCUCUUUCGUUUCUGGUUCUAUUAUUCUAUAGAUAUUUUUAGGGUCAUUUGCUGCGAAGAAUUCAAUUGAAUACUUCUGUACAUAUUAUUUUUUGUAACUUAUGAAAGGUUGUAUUUCAGUACGAGCACCAAAC